rnacentral:rRNA from 1 species
AACAAACGCUGGCGGCGUGCCUAACACAUGCAAGUCGUACGAGAAAGGGUCCUUCGGGGCCUGAGUAAAGUGGCGCACGGGUGAGUAACGCGUGGAUAAUCUGCCCUUCAGUUGGGAAUAACUCAUCGAAAGGUGGGCUAAUACCGAAUAAUGCUGUGAGACCUCGGUUGAUCAGCCAAAGAGAGCCUCUGCUUGCAAGCCCUCGCUGAAGGAUGAGUCCGCGUACCAUUAGCUAGUUGGUAGGGUAAUGGCAUACCAAGGCGACGAUGGUUAGCUAGUCUGAGAGGGUGAUCAGGCAGACUGGAACUGGUACACGGUCCAGACUCCUACGGGAGGUAGCAGUGAGGAAUCUUGCGCAAUGGGGGCACCCCUGACGCAGCAAGGCCGCGUGGGUGAGUAAGGUCGUCGGAUCGUAAAGCUCUGUCGGAUGGAAAGAACCGCAUAGGGGUAAACAGCCCCUGUGUCUGACGGUACCAUCAAAGGAAGCACCGGCUAACUCCGUGCCAGCCGCCGCCGUAACAC